AUCCGUGUUUAGUAUUACUUAUUGCUUUUAGUUCCCAUAACUUGAGACAGUAAUUUCUCUAUAUUGGCGUACAAUAAAGGGCCAAGGGUCAAAUAUUCUGUAAAUUGAACGUUGUUUCCAAUUUGUCGUUGUUAUUACUAGCCUGAAAAGAACACUGUUCUAAUAAUCAAAAUAUUUGUCAUGGAUAGUCAAAAGUACUGCUUGUUUAAGCUCUGGUUCCUUCAAAAUUUAUCUCAAUCAGAAGCAGUUGGCACCCAGUCUUGUAGGAAGGGUGUUUAACUAUAUCAUUUCCAUUUGGCUUAAUAGAUGUAUAAAAAUGUGAUAGCCAAUAUACUAGCAGGUCAAUUUAUUGUAACUGUAUGUCAGUUAUUCCUAGUGAUUGUGCUAGACAGACGUAUAGUAUGACUAGUAUCAGAGACGCUACACUAGCUACUAUUUACUUAUCUAAGUUUUAAAGUGAGCAUAUGUAAAGCUGCAAGGAGGACAUAUAUACCCGGGUGCAAACUGAGUUUUAUCCGCUUUCAAUAUAAACUGAAGUGUUAAUGGGGUUGGGUAUGGGACCAAAGCCAGACCUGUUUUAUUUUUUGGAUUGGGUAUGCUACAUGGGAAAUUAAUCUAACUUGUUAAGAGACCUGUUUUUCAUGUGGAUUUCUGUGCUUUUUUACUCAUAGAUGGGCCUGAUCAAUUGAGUACCUAUUCGUUACCUAUUUUUUUUUAACUUAGAAGUGCAGGUGGGUGGCGUUGUGUUCAAGUUUACCAUACUUCAUACUCAAUCCCACAAUAAUUUUGGUCUGAAACUUUGGCCCAUAGUUAACUGUUCGUCUAUCUGUUCAUGUAUAUCUGAGACAUCACAGCAGUGGCAGGUCUGUGAGGUCAGGAAUUUGAUUUACAUGGCCAAGUCCAAUUCCCACAAUUCAGGUACUUGUAGGAUUAGGCGAAUGUCGUUCUACUUUCAGGUUUAAGUUAACCACAUAAAAGGAUGUAGAAAAGAAAACAAUAUAUGACACGAUAGUCAUUCACAAUGCAGAGGCUUUGAUUGAGGGAAUACCUUUGACUUAGGUAUUUUUAUUGAGAUUAUGGUGAUCUGAUUAUGAAAAAUUUGUGUGUUCUUCAAUUUUUUUUUAAUUAUCAAUUUUGGGAUUUCAGUUAAUUGCUAGAUGAUAUAUUUUUUUGUUUGGAAUGGCUAAACAAAAAAUAAAAAAGAUAACAACAAUGCCACAAAGAUGAGAUAGUUGAAAUGAUGUUCAAAUAAUGUCCAAGAUCCUUUUGUUAUCUAAACCUUGAUAGUUGGAAAGAGAUAGUUGAAAAGAUGUUCUAAGAUGAGAUAGUUGAAAAGAUGUUCAAAUAAUGUCCACGAUCCUUUUGUUAUCUAAACCAUGAAGCUCUAAUCUAACCCAUUCAUUCACAUGCACAGAAUAUCUCAUUUCCGCUUUUCUUUCUCCCCUUUCCACUUGUUUUCGUUCCUUACCUAAACCAAAAUCAUUGGAUAUAACAUCCUUCUCAAGAGUCGAGAGAAUGAAAUUUCUUUCUUGUCUCUCUAUCAAGGUCAAAAAUUCAAAACAGGGAGAUAAGAAAGGAUAUUAUAGGCUUGGAAUAUAUUUUCAAGUUUCCAAUGUUCUUUUAUCAUGUAGUGAUUUGCUUCAAACAAGACAAACCAUGAAAUCGUUUUAGAAAUAUAUUUUUGAUGUCAAAAUCGGUAAUGCAUGGAAAGAAAAGCACAGUUGUCUAAUAUCAAAUGAUCUCGAUCUACACAAGAUUUAUUACCAAAGCUGUAUCCCAAACAAAGACCGCUAUAUGAUGGCCUGUGAAUAGCCUUUGCUUUGUAUAUGGUAUUGCUUUCAUUAAACUUAAACCCGAGAUAAAACCGACUUGAGAGGAAAACAAGUAAAUCAUGGGAUUGAAUUUCUGGACAUUAAUUAUGGUGGCAUAGGGUAUGAAUCAUGGAAGACCCCAUCUCGACCUAACCACCUAUAGCCCAAAUUAUAUAUGGACUAUAUUCGACCUAUGUAAUUCAUAGUUAUUUAUCUCUAAUCCACACAUCCUACUAUGCAGUUAGGAGUUCACAUCUCGAGAUAUGUGUAUGUAGCUUAAUUUUAUUCUUAAUGAACCAUUAUUUGCAUUUCAAUAUUUAUUUGUAGAUGAUUUAGAAGUUAAAGUACCCGGCAUCUCUUAAAGAAUGAAUGUACAUCUAUUUUACUUCUUAGUUUCCUGAAAUUCAAGUGAAUUUUUGUUUUUCCCUUGAAUCUCAUGCUCAGUUUCCAUGAA